rfam:Clostridium sp. ATCC 29733 genomic scaffold Scaffold130, whole genome shotgun sequence.
GGGGAAGAGAAAGCGCCAGGGCCCACGGGGCCGACGAGGCGGAGGGUGAUCGAAGAUUCGGCGGAUGCCCUCCCGGCUUUGGCAGAAGAGAUUCUGCCCGGUCGUGACCGGCGCCACAAAACCCGCUGGCAACAGCGGGGACAAAGGGCGUUCGGGGAACAAUU